AGUAUUUACAGACAUGACCACAAUUACCAACAAGAAAUGCCACAUAAUUAGAAAAUGAAAUCAAGCCACUGAAAACUCGCAGGUCAUAAAACACACAGGAAUAUGACAAUUUCUAUAGUACAACAAUUGCAAAUCUAUUGCCCAUUUCAUAAUCUGAAUCUACAGAAAAUGUCCCUGCGUGACUUGAAUCUAAAUAAAACAAUAAUGACAGUAAAAUCAGAUUACAUGGGGACAGCACGUGCCUUGUACAUACAAAUAUACGCCAUAUGCCAGUCACCUCCCCCAGAUAGUUUAGUUAUAUCAUCCUCCCGCUGUGGAAUGGGAUUAUCAUCAUCAAACUCAAUCCAUUUACCAUUUUCUUGCUUUACCCAGGCAACAUA
rnacentral:misc_RNA from 1 species